UAUUUGAAUUCAGCACAUCAAAAUACAUAAUAAAUACCACAUUUUAUCUCUGAAGCAGAUGACUUCUCAAAAACUGUAGACCAGUGUUACCUUUCCUGUGCAAAUUGUUUUCCCAGGGGAAU